rnacentral:tRNA from 1 species
UCCUCCCUUAGCUCAACAGGAUAGAGCAGUGGCCUUCUAAGCCAAAGAUUUAUACGUUCAAAUCGUAUAGGGUGGAU